CCUACGGGUGGCUGCAGCAAGGAAUUUUCGUCAAUGGGCGCAAGCCUGAACGAGCAACGCCGCGUGGAGGAUGACGGCCUUCGGGUUGUAAACUCCUUUUGGGGGGGAUGCGGUACCCCUUGAAUAAGGCUCGGCUAACUCUGUGCCAGCAGCCGCGGUAAUACAGAGGAGCCAAGCGUUGUCCGGAUUGACUGGGCGUAAAGCGCACGCAGGCGGCUGUGCGCGUGGGGUGUGAAAUCUGGCCGCUUAACGGCCAGGCGCCAUCCCAUACGGCACGGCUGGAGCCUUGCAGAGGUCGGUGGAAUUGCCGGUGUAGUGGUGAAAUGCGUAGAGAUCGGCAGGAACACCCAGGGGGAAACCAGCCGACUGGGCAGGCUGACGCUGAGGUGCGAGAGCGUGGGGAGCGAACCGGAUUAGAUACCCUUGUAGUC
rnacentral:rRNA from 1 species